CGCAGGCACAUACAGAGGGAAGGCGAUACGAAGACAAAAGAGACUGUUACCGACAAGCCAAGGAAUGCCUGGAGCUACCAGAAGUUACAACAGAUUCUCCCUCUGAGCCCUCAGAAGGAACUAAUCUGUUCAACAUCUUGAUUUUGGACUUCUGGCCUCCAGAACUGGAUCACAAGAAGCUCUGGGGUCCAGAUUUUACACAGUCGCCCGUCACCCAACCAUGUGUGCAAAUACUUGUAUGCAGAUAGAACUCGAGUUUGUCCAAAGACCAAUCAUCUCUGAAUGUCUUCUGCUAAGAAUUUAAUAUAUAUAUUUCUAUUUAGCCCUCUAGUCUAAAGUCUGGGUGGAACCAUGGCCAGAGGAAGUGACACUUAUGUGACUUGUUGAAACGUCUACUUUUGGAAAUCAUGCUGUGAAGAGACUUGAUCUCAGGAUCUUUCUUGGAGCUCUUGGAAACAGUGGUAAAGAAACCGUGGACCAAGUGGGCUGUUGGACAGAGGAGUCGCCACGCUAUAACUGGGAGUAGAGGAGAUACCUGAUUUCUUUGGCUUGUCUUUCCCAGAAGAUGAGGAGCAGAACCUGGAAAGUCCGAACACAAUUUGGUGGUUGACUCACAGAAUGUCCUCUGAAUCGAUGACCUUCGGUGUGUGCCAAAGCUGACUGA